rnacentral:rRNA from 1 species
CUACGGGUCGCACCAGUGGGGAAUAUUGCACAAUGGGCGCAAGCCUGAUGCAGCCAUGCCGCGUGUAUGAAGAAGGCCUUCGGGUUGUAAAGUACUUUCAGCGGGGAGGAAGGGAGUAAGGUUAAUACCUUUGCUCAUUGACGUUACCCGCAGAAGAAGCACCGGCUAACUCCGUGCCAGCAGCCGCGGUAAUACGGAGGGUGCAAGCGUUAAUCGGAAUUACUGGGCGUAAAGCGCACGCAGGCGGUUUGUUAAGUCAGAUGUGAAAUCCCCGGGCUCAACCUGGGAACUGCAUCUGAUACUGGCAAGCUUGAGUCUCGUAGAGGGGAGUAGAAUUCCAGGUGUAGCGGUGAAAUGCGUAGAGAUCUGGAGGAAUACCGGUGGCGAAGGCGGCCCCCUGGACGAAGACUGACGCUCAGGUGCGAAAGCGUGGGGAGCAAACAGGAUUAGAUACCCUUGUAGUC